UCUCUGGUGGUCCAGUGGUUAAGACUCUGUGCUUUCACUGCUGAGGGCCCAGGCUCGAUCCCUGAUCAGGGAG
rnacentral:tRNA from 1 species